rnacentral:tRNA from 1 species
GCGCCUGUAGCUCAAUUGGAUAGAGCAACUGGCUUCGAACCAGUAGGUUGUAGGUUCGAGUCCUACCGGGCGCGCCA